rnacentral:rRNA from 1 species
CCUACGGGCGGCAGCAGUGGGGAAUAUUGCACAAUGGGCGCAAGCCUGAUGCAGCCAUGCCGCGUGUGUGAAGAAGGCCUUCGGGUUGUAAAGCACUUUCAGCGGGGAGGAAGGCGGUGAGGUUAAUAACAUCAUCGAUUGACGUUACCCGCAGAAGAAGCACCGGCUAACUCCGUGCCAGCAGCCGCGGUAAUACGGAGGGUGCAAGCGUUAAUCGGAAUUACUGGGCGUAAAGCGCACGCAGGCGGUCUGUCAAGUCGGAUGUGAAAUCCCCGGGCUCAACCUGGGAACUGCAUUCGAAACUGGCAGGCUAGAGUCUUGUAGAGGGGGGUAGAAUUCCAGGUGUAGCGGUGAAAUGCGUAGAGAUCUGGAGGAAUACCGGUGGCGAAGGCGGCCCCCUGGACAAAGACUGACGCUCAGGUGCGAAAGCGUGGGGAGCAAACAGGAUUAGAUACCCGGGUAGUC